AUACGUAGGGGGCGAGCGUUGUCCGGAAUGAUUGGGCGUAAAGGGCGCGUAGGCGGCCGCUUAAGUCUGGAGUGAAAGUCCUGUUUUCAAGAUGGGAAUUGCUUUGGUUACUGGGGGGCUUGAGUGCAGGAGAGGUUAUCGGAAUUCCCGGUGUAGCGGUGAAAUGCGUAGAGAUCGGGAGGAACACCAGUGGCGAGGGCGGGUAACUGGACUGCAACUGACGCUGAGGCGCGAAAGUGUGGGGAGCAAACAGGAUUAGAUACCCUGGUAGUCCACACUGUAAACGAUGAAUGCUAGGUGUAAGAGGUAUCGACCCCUUUUGUGCCGGAGUCAACACAAUAAGCAUUCCGCCUGGGGAGUACGGCCGCAAGGUUGAAACUCAAAUGAAUUGACGGGG
rnacentral:rRNA from 1 species